UCUGGUUGAUCCUGCCAGUAGUCAUAUGGUCUCAAAGAUUAAGCCAUGCGUCUAAGUAUAAGCAAUUUAUACAGUGAAACUGCGAAUGGCUCAUUAAAUCAGUUAUCGUUAUUUGAUAGUUCCUUUACUACAUGGUAUAACUGUGGUAAUUCUAGAGCUAAUACAUGCUUAAAAUCUCGACCCUUUGGAAGGAUGUAUUUAUUAGAUAAAAAAUCAAUGUCUUCGGACUCUUUGAUGAUUCAUAACUUUUCGAAUCGCUGGCCUUGUGCUGGCGAUGGUUCAUUCAAUUUCUGCCCUAUCAACUUUCGAUGGUAGGAUAGUGGCUACCAUGGUUUCAACGGGUAAACGGGGAAUAAGGGUCCGAUUCCGGAGAGGGGCCUGCAGAGAAACGGCUACCACAUCCAAGGAAGGCAGCAGGCGCGCAACAUUACCCAAUCCUAAUUCAGGAGGUAGUGACAAUAAUAACGAUACAGGGCCAUUCGGGUCUUGUAUGGAUGAGUACAAUGUAAAUACCUUACGAGGAACAAUGGGGGCAAGUCUGGUGCCAGCAGCCGCGGUAAUUCCCAGCCAAUAGCGUAUAUUAAAGUUGUUGCAGUUAAAAAGCUCGUAGUUGAACUUUGGGCCCGGUUGGCCGGUCCGAUUUUUCGUGUACUGGAUUUCCACGGGGCCUUCCUUCUGGCUAACCUUGAGUCUUGUGGCUCUUGGCGAACCCAGGACUUUUACUUGAAAAAAUUAGAGUGUUCAAAGCAGGCGUAUUGCUCGAAUAUUAGCAUGGAAUAAUAGAAUAGGACGUUUGGUUCUAUUUGUUGGUUUUCGGACCAUCGUAAUGAUUAAUAGGGACGGUCGGGGGCAUCAGUACAAUUGUCAGAGGUGAAAUUCUUGGAUUUAUUGAAGACUAACUACUGCGAAAGCAUUUGCCAAGGACGUUUUCAUUAAUCAAGAACGAAAGUUAGGGGAUCGAAGAUGAUCAGAUACCGUCGUAGUCUUAACCAUAAACUAUGCCGACUAGGGAUCGGGUGGUGUUUUUUUAAUGACCCACUCGGCACCUUACGAGAAAUCAAAGUCUUUGGGUUCUGGGGGGAGUAUGGUCGCAAGGCUGAAACUUAAAGGAAUUGACGGAAGGGCACCACCAGGAGUGGAGCCUGCGGCUUAAUUUGACUCAACACGGGGAAACUCACCAGGUCCAGACACAAUAAGGAUUGACAGAUUGAGAGCUCUUUCUUGAUUUUGUGGGUGGUGGUGCAUGGCCGUUCUUAGUUGGUGGAGUGAUUUGUCUGCUUAAUUGCGAUAACGAACGAGACCUUAACCUACUAAAUAGUGGUGCUAGCAUUUGCUGGUUAUCCACUUCUUAGAGGGACUAUCGGUUUCAAGCCGAUGGAAGUUUGAGGCAAUAACAGGUCUGUGAUGCCCUUAGACGUUCUGGGCCGCACGCGCGCUACACUGACGGAGCCAGCGAGUCUAACCUUGGCCGAGAGGUCUUGGUAAUCUUGUGAAACUCCGUCGUGCUGGGGAUAGAGCAUUGUAAUUAUUGCUCUUCAACGAGGAAUUCCUAGUAAGCGCAAGUCAUCAGCUUGCGUUGAUUACGUCCCUGCCCUUUGUACACACCGCCCGUCGCUAGUACCGAUUGAAUGGCUUAGUGAGGCCUCAGGAUCUGCUUAGAGAAGGGGGCAACUCCAUCUCAGAGCGGAGAAUUUGGACAAACUUGGUCAUUUAGAGGAACUAAAAGUCGUAACAAGGUUUCCGUAGGUGAACCUGCGGAAG
rnacentral:rRNA from 1 species